UACGUAGGGGGCGAGCGUUGUCCGGAUUUACUGGGCGUAAAACGCUUGUAGGCGGUCACGCCAAGUCGGAUGUGAAAUCUCCCGGCUUAACUGGGAGGGGUCAUUCGAUACUGGCGGGCUCGAGGCAGGUAGGGGGAAGCGGAAUUCCCGGUGUAGUGGUGGAAUGCGUAGAUAUCGGGAGGAACACCAGUGGCGAAGGCGGCUUCCUGGACCUGUUCUGACGCUGAGGAGCGAAAGCGUGUGGAGCGAUCCGG
rnacentral:rRNA from 1 species